rnacentral:rRNA from 2 species
CGCUGAACUUAAGCAUAUCAAUAAGCGGAGGAAAAGAAACUAACAAGGAUUCCCCUAGUAACGGCGAGUGAAGCGGGAAGAGCUCAAGCUUAAAAUCUCCGUGCAAGUUUUGCGCGGCGAAUUGUAGUCUAUAGAGGCGUGGUCAGCGUGGGCGCUUGGGGCAAGUUCCUUGGAAGAGGACAGCAUGGAGGGUGAUACUCCCGUUCAUCCCUGAGUGGCUCGUGCGUACGACCCGUGUUCUUUGAGUCGCGUUGUUUGGGAAUGCAGCGCAAAGUAGGUGGUAAAUUCCAUCUAAAGCUAAAUAUUGGUGCGAGACCGAUAGCGAACAAGUACCGUGAGGGAAAGAUGAAAAGAACUUUGAAAAGAGAGUUAAAGAGUACCUGAAACUGCUGAAAGGGAACCGAAUCGUUUCCAGUGUCUAUAAUCCGUGGCAUAUUUCAUUGGCGAGUGUGUGCGUGCGUGUGCUGUGGCAGUGGCUUUUUUGGCUGCGCUCGGUGUGUGUGCUGUGUGUGCUUGCUGGUGCCCUGUGCUGCGGUGGGACGUCAAGGUCAGUUCGUAUGCUGCGGGAAAUGGCUGCCGAGGAGGUAGGGCUUACGCUCCGCGUUUGUCUGUUAUAUCUUGGUGGACGAGUCGUCGCGGUUGGGACUGAGGUGCCUACAACGUGCUUUUGAGUGGGUUUGUGUCUCCGUGUGCGCCGUGUGCGGAUAGCUUGCUAUGCGUGUGUGGUUGUGUGUGGAUUGAUGCGGGCUUUAACUUGUCGCCGUUCGGGACGUUGACGAAAUGGAGCGAUCCGACCCGUCUUGAAACACGGACCAAGGAGUCUAACAUGUGUGCAAGUGUUAGGGUGUGGAAACCCCAGCGCGAAAUGAAAGUGAAGGGCAGCGCAAGUUGUCUGAGGUAGGAAACGUUGCGGGCUUCGGUCUGCGGCGUGGCACUAUCGACCGAUCAUGAACCUUCGUGGUGAAAGAUUUGAGUUUGAGCACAUAUGUUGGUACCCGAAAGAUGGUGAACUAUGCCUGAGUAGGGUGAAGCCAGGGGAAACUCUGGUGGAAGCUCGUAGCGAUUCUGACGUGCAAAUCGAUCGUCAAACUUGGGUAUAGGGGCGAAAGACUAAUCGAACCAUCUAGUAGCUGGUUCCCUCCGAAAUUUCCCUCAGGAUAGCAGCAACUUAUUUACGAUAGUUUUAUGAGGUAAAGCGAAUGAUUAGAGGAUUCGGGGAAGAAACUUCCUCGACCUAUUCUCAAACUUUAAAUCUGUAAGACCUGCAGGUUUCUUAAUUGAACUUGUGGAUGUGAAUAUCAAGUUGCUAGUGGGCCAUACGGGGUAAGCUCGUCUGGCG